UGGGGAAUAUUGCACAAUGGGCGCAAGCCUGAUGCAGCCAUGCCGCGUGUGUGAAGAAGGCCUUCGGGUUGUAAAGCACUUUCAGCGAGGAGGAAGGUGGUGAACUUAAUACGUUCAUCAAUUGACGUUACUCGCAGAAGAAGCACCGGCUAACUCCGUGCCAGCAGCCGCGGUAAUACGGAGGGUGCAAGCGUAAUCGGAAUUACUGGGCGUAAAGCGCACGCAGGCGGUUUGUUAAGUCAGAUGUGAAAUCCCCGGGCUCAACCUGGGAACUGCAUUUGAAACUGGCAAGCUAGAGUCUCGUAGAGGGGGGUAGAAUUCCAGGUGUAGCGGUGAAAUGCGGUAGAGAUCUGGAGGAAUACCGGUGGCGAAGGCGGCCCCCUGGACGAAGACUGACGCUCAGGUGCGAAAGCGUGGGGAGCAAACAGGAUUAGAUACCCUGGUAGUCCACGCUGUAAACGAUGUCGAUUUUGGAGGUUGUGCCCUUGAGGCGUGGCCUCCGGAGCUAACGCGUUAAAUCGACCGCCUGGGGAGUACGGCCGCAAGGUU
rnacentral:rRNA from 1 species